CCUACGGGAGGCAGCAGUGGGGGAUAUUGCACAAUGGGGGGAACCCUGAUGCAGCGACGCCGCGUGGGUGAAGAAGCGCCUCGGCGCGUAAAGCCCUGUCAGCAGGGAAGAAAAUGACGGUUACUGAAGAAGAAGCCCCGGCUAACUACGUGCCAGCAGCCGCGGUAAUACGUAGGGGGCAAGCGUUAUCGGGAUUUACUGGGUGGAAAGGGGGCGCAGACGGCGAUGCAAGCCAGGAGUGAAAGCCCGGGGCCCAACCCCGGGACUGCUCUUGGAACUGCGUGGCUGGAGUGCAGGAGGGGCAGGCGGAAUUCCUGGUGUAGCGGUGAAAUGCGUAGAUAUCAGGAGGAACACCGGUGGCGAAGGCGGCCUGCUGGACUGCAACUGACGUUGAGGCCCGAAAGCGUGGGGAGCAAACAGGAUUAGAUACCCCGGUAGUC
rnacentral:rRNA from 1 species